CAGCUGUCUCUGCUUUUGAGCUUGAUUUCAUUAGGAACUCAUCUUUUAGCCUGUCAUCCUGUCCUGUUAAGGCACAGCCACCUUACUGUCAGUUAUAGCCAGGCUAUACACUCAAGAACUAUUUUGGAAUGCCCUUGAUUUCAGUAAUCAGAGCAGCUCUUUGCAGGGAAAUGUCUUUCACAGGAAAACAAUGAGUUUUUUUGUUGUUGUUGCUCAGGCAAUACACGUUUGUUUUUUUGUUUGUUUGUUUGUUUGUUUUUCUAUUCAGCAUCAGUGAACUUGCCAUGAGAGAUGUGUUCUGCAGCUAUCCUUACCUUUUUCCCUGGUGCAUAGCAUUAUGGGUGCCUCAAUACAGAAAGGACAUUGAGGUGCUGGAGCAGGCUGAAAGAAGGGCAACAAGGCUUGUGGAGGGCUUGGAGAAUAUGCCCAACAAGGAGAGGCUGAAGGAACUGGGGCUGUUUAGUCUGGGGAAGAGGAGGCUGAGGGGAGACCUUAUUGCUCUCUUCGAAUAUUUGAGAGGUGCUUACACUGAGAGCAGGGCUGGUCUCUUCUCACUGCUGACAGGUGACAGGAUGAGGGGAAAUGACCUCAAGUUGUGCCAGGGUAAGUUUAGGUUGGAUAUCAGAAAGAAUUUCUUUACAGAAAGGGUUGUUAAGCACUGGAAUAGGCUCCCCAGGGAGGUGGUUGCGUCGCCAUCCCUGAAUGUGUUUAAAAACCGUUUGGAUAUGGUUCCCAGGGACAUGAUUUAUCAGAGGGUUGCUAGAGUUAGGGUAGUAUGGUUAUGUUGCAGUUGGACUUGAUCUUGAAGGUCUUUUCCAAACUGAGUGAUUUUAUGAUUCUGUGUGGGCUACCAUUGCCCAACAACUCUGAGACGAUCAGGUCUGUUGAAUGCUUCUCUGCAAUCUGUCUCUCCACAGUAGUCUCCACAGUGUGAAAAACCAUGGCAAGCAAUAUGUUUCUUCCAAUGCUUCACAUGAAAAACCCAUUCAUAUUAUCUUCUAGCAGGAUGGAUUUUAUAUCCAGCAAGGGCAUAGUAAAGCAAAGAGUUUUCUAUAUUCUUGUUGCUUGUAAAUCCCCCCACAGCCAUUAUGCCCUCAGAAGCUCAGCUCAGCAUGUAACAGGGUUUAGCCAUGGUGUCUUAGGCUGCAGUUUGACAUGUCUUCAAGCAGGGCCACCAGGCAUCCAUAGCUUGUCCCUGCCCAGCUGCCUCCAUGCAUCUUCAGUACCUCCAUCUUCUGUCACUCUUGCCUUACCUGCUGAGGGUAGUUGGGGUGGUUGCAACAAGGGCUGGUGAGGGCUGGGAGGGAGAAUGCUCAAAAUUUGGCCAGGAUCUGAAGGGAUGGAGUCUAGUGUGGACAGAGGAGUCAAGAGACCAAGCUGUAACUCUUGGUUGGCACUUCACCACCAUCCUCACAAGGAAGAAAGAAGUAGAAAAAUAAAACUUUUUUUUUUUUUUUGCAUUAUUAUUAUUUUGUGUGUGUGUGGACAAUAACUCCAAAAACACGGAUCACCUUUCUUUUCUAGUGCUUGCUUCCAAAUACUCCAGACUAUAGUCAAAGCUGCAAUUUUCUGCUGAAAGUUGUUUCAAGGACCCAGAUACCACUCAUUCAAACUAAAGCAAGAAAUCUUCAUGCCUAAAGCCUUGUGUAGAUUACUAUCUGUGCAAAACAGUACAAAGAGCAACUACACUGAAAUGCACCACAUCUCUCAACAAAAUGAGAAACAGUGUGGAGUCUGUUGAAGUGUUAGGAAAUUGGUAAUUGCCCACUUGAACUCCACUGAGGACUCCUUCAGAGAAGCUGCAUCAUGGGCCCAUCCAAGUGAGAG
ensembl:lncRNA